GAACGCUGGCGGCGUGCCUAACACAUGCAAGUCGUACGCGAAAGGGGCUUCGGCCCUGAGUAAAGUGGCGCACGGGUGAGUAACACGUGGAUAAUCUGCCCGGUGAUCAGGGAUAACAUUCCGAAAGGAAUGCUAAUACCGGAUAAGCCCACGCAUCCUCGGGGUGAGCGGGAAAAGGUGGGGACCUUCGGGCCUACUGUCACUGGAUGAGUCCGCGUCCCAUUAGCUAGUUGGUGGGGUAAUGGCCUACCAAGGGCGACGAUGGGUAGCUGGUCUGAGAGGAUGAUCAGCCACACUGGAACUGAGACACGGUCCAGACUCCUACGGGAGGCAGCAGUGGGGAAUUUUGCGCAAUGGGCGAGAGCCUGACGCAGCAACGCCGCGUGAGUGAUGAAGGCCUUCGGGUCGUAAAGCUCUGUCAGAGGGAGAGAACAACCUGCCGGUUAAUACCCGGCGGGCCUGACGGUACCCUCAAAGGAAGCACCGGCUAACUCCGUGCCAGCCGCUGC
rnacentral:rRNA from 1 species